GCUUAAGGAGUGGUCGAGACUGAGGCGGGGUGGGAGGUUCAGGUUCCCGGGGCGCCUUCCCCAACCCGCCCCGCUUUCCCCGUCCCUCCACGCGCACCCUGCCUGUGGUUUCCGUGCGCCCCCGGCCUGAGGGCUCUGGGCGGCACCUUAACCCGGAGGGCCUGGAGGUCUGCACCCGACCGCCUUGUGCCAGGACGGUCAGGUCCACGCCCUCCCCCACCGUGGCUCCCUCCAUCUGCAGUAUCCCCCACCUCCAGCCCGUCCUGCCCUCCUGUUCUCCGUCUCGCUUCCCGUCGGUGCCUCCGGGAUCUCACAGCCCUCGCACCUCUUUUGUGACCCAGGCUGUUUUUCUGCACCCCCCUCUCCCCUGAGGGCACUGAGAUUGGGCCAUUGGCCUGAAGGUCUCUGGGAGCAGCACCCUUCCAGGGGAGGUGGGACGUCGAGAACUUCUCCCUAAGAGAUGCGGGGAAAUGGUGGGGCCUGAGAGUGCAAACACUGCAGAAAUGCGAAAAAUGUAGUGUUAACGGAAGAGUUUAGGUCCUGCCUCACUGUCCGGGAAACGCGUGCCCUCGGGGGAGCCUUUGCCAAGCCGGUUUUUCCCGAAGGUGACCAGAUGCUCCUGGGCCACUGCCUCUGAGACCUCAGGGAACGGAGAUUUUUGUGGACCCAGCUGCCUGGAGCUGCUUUCCUGUUCCGGCCGGAGGAGGAUUCUGUGACUUGAUGGGUGGGCCCUCUGCUGCUCUGGGUGUGGCUGCAUACACCCCGGGGGUCAACAGGGACGAGCGGUACAGCGGCUGGGUUGCUCUCUACCCGGUCUUCGUCCAAGCCCCUCCACAGCUGGUAAGAUCUCCGGAGCAGGACCUGCAAGCCCUCUUCAGAUCACCCCAGAACUUCCUGUCUAAAAACUGAAGCCUCUCACUGCCCAGGCAUGGCUUCUUGCUACCCUGCCCUCAGGCACAGUCCUGCACCCACCUGCGUCUGCUGUGCCAUGUCCAGGCCAGUCCCCCCCCACCACCAACACCUCUCUCUAUCUUCAUCCUCUUCCCAAUCUGGUCCUCCCACCGCUGUGGAAACCCCGUCUGCCCCCAAAGCCUAGCUUAAAAAUAAUUCCCUAGGGACCUGUGUCUCUCCCUGCCUCGGCCCCUCCUUCAUUCCUGGGUGCCUCCGGCUGUGCAGCAUUUGACACUGCAGCACCCCCCUUAAUUCGGAAGCAUGCUGUCUCCUGGACUGGUGAGUCUCCACACUAUCUGAGCCGUCUUCUCUGGAACUCUUGGCCUCUCAGUCCGUUCUGAGAAUACAGCCUUGGUAAGCACGGUGCCCACAUGAAUGUUUCCAGCAGCAGGAUUCAAAAUAGCCACAUGUCCAUCAACAGAUGAGUGGAUAAACAAAACAUGGUCCAGAAUAAUGGAAGAUUACUCAGCCCUAAAAAGAGACGAAGCUGGUGAACCUCGAGAACACGAGGCCGCGUGAACGAAGCCAGACACCGAGGACCACGUAGCGUGAGACUCUCAGUCUAUGAAAUGUGCGGAGUCGAUAAAUUCACAGAGACAGAAAGGAGAUUCACGGUUGCCAGGGGCUGGGGAGUGACAACAGAGGGAUGGGGGUGACUGUGAAAGGGUACGUGGUUUCUUUCCCAGAGGAUAAGAACGUUCUAACAUGGCCUGUCCUGUUGGCUUCACAGCUCUGUACAACACACAAAAAAACCAUUGAAAUGUACACUUUGUGGAAUGUGAACUGUAUCUUGAUAAAGCAGUUAGAAGACCUUCGAACAUAAGCAUGCGGCCUCAUGGGGCCUUUGCCUGGGCACCCUGGCACCUCUCCCAGGCUCUACCUAUCUCCGACUUCAUUCCUGAGCUCUUGAACAGGGAUUUGACUGCUCUGGAGACCUCCUGUAAGUGGAAUCCUACAGCAU
rnacentral:lncRNA from 1 species